rnacentral:rRNA from 1 species
ACGAAGGGUGCAAGCGUUAAUCGGAAUUACUGGGCGUAAAGCGCGCGUAGGUGGUUCGUUAAGUUGGAUGUGAAAGCCCCGGGCUCAACCUGGGAACUGCAUCCAAAACUGCUGAGCUAGAGUACGGUAGAGGGUGGUGGAAUUUCCUGUGUAGCGGUGAAAUGCGUAGAUAUAGGAAGGAACACCAGUGGCGAAGGCGACCACCUGGACUGAUACUGACACUGAGGUGCGAAAGCGUGGGGAGCAAACAGG